AAAACUUUCAACAACGGAUCUCUUGGUUCCAGCAUCGAUGAAGAACGCAGCGAAAUGCGAUAAGUAAUGUGAAUUGCAGAAUUCAGUGAAUCAUCGAAUCUUUGAACGCACAUUGCGCCCCUCGGUAUUCCGGGGGGCAUGCCUGUCCGAGCGUCAUUA
rnacentral:rRNA from 1 species